rnacentral:rRNA from 1 species
GAUGAACGCUGGCGGCGUGCCUAAUACAUGCCAGUAGAACGCUGAAGGAGGAGCUUGCUCUUCUGGAUGAGUUGCGAACGGGUGAGUAACGCGUAGGUAACCUGCCUGGUAGCGGGGGAUAACUAUUGGAAACGAUAGCUAAUACCGCAUGACAACAGUUAUUGCAUGAUAACUGUUUAAAAGGGGCAACUGCUCCACUACCAGAUGGACCUGCGUUGUAUUAGCUAGUUGGUGAGGUAACGGCUCACCAAGGCGACGAUACAUAGCCUACCUGAGAGGGUGAUCGGCCACACUGGGACUGAGACACGGCCCAGACUCCUACGGGAGGCAGCAGUAGGGAAUCUUCGGCAAUGGACGGAAGUCUGACCGAGCAACGCCGCGUGAGUGAAGAAGGUUUUCGGAUCGUAAAGCUCUGUUGUAAGAGAAGAACGAGUGUGAGAGUGGAAAGUUCACACUGUGACGGUAUCUUACCAGAAAGGGACGGCUAACUACGUG